rnacentral:rRNA from 1 species
GGCCACUGCUAUCAGAUUCCGACUAAGCCAUGCGAGGCAUAGGUGUCUUCGGAUACCUGCCGAACUGCUCAGUAACACGUAGUCAAUCUGCCCUGAGGACGGGGACAACCCCGGGAAACUGGGGAUAAUCCCCGAUAGAUGAGAGGUACUGGAAGGUCCUUUCAUCCAAAUGGAUUCGUCCGCCUCAGGAUGAGACUGCGCCGGAUUAGGUUGUUGUUGGGGUAACUGCCCAACAAGCCGAUAAUCCGUACGGGUUGUGAGAGCAAUAGCCCGGAGAUGGACUCUGAGACAUGAGUCCAGGCCCUACGGGGUGCAGCAGGCGCGAAGCCUUCGCAAUGCGCGAAAGCGUGACGAGGGGAAUCUGAGUGGCUUCGCACCGCGAAGCCUUUUGCUGAGUGUAAAAAGGCUCGGCGAAUAAGGGGUGGGUAAGACGGUUGCCAGCCGCCGCGGUAAUAACCGCGCCCCGAGUGGUGGCCGCUUUUAUUGGGCCUAAAGCGUCCGUAGCCGGCCUGGAAAGUCCACAGUCAAAGCCUACUGCAAACAGUGGAAUUGCUGUGGAUACUGUCAGGCUAGGGACCGGAAGAGGCCGGGGGUACGGCCAGGGUAGGGGUUAAAUCCGUUAAUCCUGGCAGGACCACCUGUGGCGAAGGCGCCCGGCUGGAACGGCUCCGACGGUGAGGGACGAAAGCUAGGGGAGCGAUCGGGAUUAGAUACCCCGGUAGUCCUAGCUGUAAACGAUGCCCACUUGAUGUCAGCUGUCCCACGAGGGCAGUUGGUGUCGAAGCGAAGGCGAUAAGUGGGCCGCCUGGGGAGUACGGCCGCAAGGCUGAAACUUAAGGGAAUUGGCGGGGGAGCACUACAAGGGGUGGAGGCUGCUGUUC